rnacentral:rRNA from 1 species
UAGGGAAUCUUCGGCAAUGGGGGGAACCCUGACCGAGCAACGCCGCGUGAGUGAAGAAGGUUUUCGGAUCGUAAAGCUCUGUUGUUAAGGAAGAACGAGUGUGAGAAUGGAAAGUUCAUACUGUGACGGUACUUAACCAGAAAGGGACGGCUAACUACGUGCCAGCAGCCGCGGUAAUACGUAGGACCCGAGCGUUGUCCGGAUUUAUUGGGCGUAAAGCGAGCGCAGGCGGUUAGAUAAGUCUGAAGUUAAAGGCAGUGGCUCAACCAUUGUAGGCUUUGGAAACUGUUUAACUUGAGUGCAGAAGGGGAGAGUGGAAUUCCAUGUGUAGCGGUGAAAUGCGUAGAUAUAUGGAGGAACACCGGUGGCGAAAGCGGCUCUCUGGUCUGUAACUGACGCUGAGGCUCGAAAGCGUGGGGAGCGAACAGG